GCCUUGGUGGUGUAGUGGUAGCAAGCGUCCGCGAUAUGGACGAAACGCGGGUUUGACUCUCGUCUGAAGUCGCA